rnacentral:lncRNA from 1 species
GGGAUUAGUGAUUUGGUGACACUUCUAUCAUCUGAUGGAGGUUUGAACCCUCAUCUCCUUCCCUGUUCCAGUUUGAGUAUCCUGGAGGCAACAACGUUGUGCAGAUGAGGUUUCUGCGCCUCAGCAGCAGAUCCUGCACGCAGACCGUCACCCACUUUUGUGCAACAGGAAGCAGGCAGGGCAACGAGAGGAGGGAGGUUCGCUUCCUGGCCGACUCAAGGAGGCAGAGUUACCAGGGUGAACUGCAAGACUGUGUGCCCUGGGAUGAGCUGGAGUCGGGACACCGGGAUUCGAUCUUCCAGUUUGAAAGCGACGACCUGCAGCUGCUGCCGCUGAGAGACGUGGCUGUGUUUGGAAACAAAGAGGUAACGUGGGAGUUUGGCUUCACAGUGGGACCAGCGUGCUUCAGUUGAGAGAGCUGCACCUCCAGAGAUCACGUGUGAUAUUUGUUUGAAAGUCCGGGACAAUCAAAAGCAUCGCAGCCUUUUUUCUUUGCUGUUCUGCACACGGUCGUCUGUCGGCUCACACGCCUGCUGGGAUCAUUUAGGUCUGAACUCCUUGAUAUUUACUAUAUUUGUACAUGUGUUUAUGUCACAUUUUAUUUUUUAGACUUAUUUCAGGGACUUUUUAUUUGUAUUUGUUUUGGGGAAGAAUUCAUAAACAUGUUCAGGGUUUUUUAAUUUAUAGUAAAUAUUUCCAAAGAACAUAAAGCUGCUAUCCGGAAUUUCUGAGAGGAUGUCUCGAUGUCCCGCCCUCUACAGCUCCAAUUCCUCCCACUGCCUCUCCCAAUCUAUCAGAAGCCACACCCUUACUUUUCUGCACACGCAUCACAGAACAUAACAAGGUUGCAUCAGGUCGCAUUGAUAUAGGUCUAUGGGUCAGGUAAGAGCCAAAAUCAUAUUAACCUGUUUACUGUUGUGACGCACGGCCUGUUUCCGUGCACAGUUCGGCAUUUGCUUUGAUUGACAGUCUCAAAAACAGGAAGUCAAAGCCUAUUGGCUGGGCGCAUUCUGCGAUCGUUUCCAUUUGUAUAGGGGUCUAUAGGACGAAGGAGGGACUUGUAUACAUUAACGUAUAUGAAUGACCACCAGCUAGACCAUAGUAAAAGACUAGUUAGGUAUUUUUUUGCAUUUCAAAAGAUUAAUACAUAAAUUUCUCAGAUACUCCGGAUAUCAGCUGUAAGAAAACUUAAAUGAUAAUGGAGUUGAAACUGGCGUUCACAAUCUGAUACUAUUGCAGCAUUUAUAUCAACAUUAAUGGUCAUUCAUUGAUCUGUAAAAUGCAAAUACUUCCUUUGCAAAUUGUCAAAUUUGUAAGAUGUUUUCAAUAAUAUUUUACUGUUUUUUUUUUUUUUUUUGCAGUGUGAUUGUUACAAAAUGUGGAGAUAUAUAUUACCUCAAUCCAUAAUUGUCACCUUUUUCCAAUUCUAAUUUUCCAAUUUCACAUUUGUUUUUAUCAUCUUAUUGCCAUUUUUCUUCCCAUUCUUGAUUUUUUUUUUAAAAUUUUCCCUUUAAUUUGUUUACUUCAUAUUUCAUAUUCAUAUUUUUUUAUUAAUUUAACCAGUUAUAUUAUUACUAGUCUGAUGUACAUUUUUAUAUCUGUACUUAAUAGUAUUCUUAUUAUAUUUAUUCUUAUUUUACUUCUGUGUGUGUGUUCCGUUCUGCAAUAACCACCACAAUUUGUAAUAAAAACUAUUUAUUAGAGGUGCCCA